rnacentral:misc_RNA from 1 species
AAAGUCGUAACAAGGUUUCCGUAGGUGAACCUGCGGAAGGAUCAUUAAAAGUUUUAGUUAUACUUCACGUAUAUACUUUAAUAAACCCAUUCCGCGUACCUUACCCAUUGCUUCCGCUGAGCUGGACCUCGGUCCGCUCUGACUAUGCCCUUGCGGCGUACGAUGAGUAGUCUCAGCGGGAGGUAUACAUUAAACUCUUGCAUUUCCAUGUCAUCUGUCUGAAUACUGUUUAUAACAAAUGUUAAAACUUUCAACAACGGAUCUCUUGGUUCUC